GCAACCCUUACCUUUAGUUGCCAGCGGUAGAGCCGGGCACUCUAGAGGGACUGCCGGGAUGACCCGGAGGAAGGUGGGAUGACGUCAAAUCAUCAUGCCCCUUAUGACCUGGGCUACACACGUGCUACAAUGGUUGGUACAACGAGUUGCGAGUCGGUGACGGCGAGCUAAUCUCUUAAAGCCGAUCUCAGUUCGGAUUGUAGGCUGCAACUCGCCUACAUGAAGUCGGAAUCGCUAGUAAUCGCGGAUCAGCACGCCGCGGUGAAUACGUUCCCGGGCCUU
rnacentral:rRNA from 1 species